GAUUUUAGUCAGGAUUGAUUCAGAUUGUUCCUUAGCUCUAGGCGGGGCAUGAUCCUGAUUUUGACACGCCCCUGAAUCUUACGUAUCAGUGAUGAAACACAUAACAUCUGUUGGCAUGCCCCAAGCCCCCAACAUAUUUUAUCAGCCAGCCGAUGGCCAAGCGGCGUUUUCUGAGACAUUUACGUAUCUCUUCUUGAUUGAUGGAUACGUUGCGGCGAAAAGCGAUUUAACGAUGCGAUACACUAUUUAAGAGUCAGUAGGGAAUCGUUCUUGAAAACGAAAGGUUCGCUCUCUAUGAAGAGGACCGUACUUUCUACUUUCUGAAAUCAUAACUUUUGGUUAUAAAAAGCAGACCGUGGAUUCGAGGGUGAAGGUUAGAAUAAUUCGUAAGAGGCAAGGAAGACCACACAGGACCAAUUAAAAACAAAUCCUCAUCCGAUCGACACGUGUCAUCGAAGCGUUCUAGAUUUAAUUGAGCUUGAGCGAUAGUGAAGAGUUUUAGUUCCAAACUAGUUAAACAAAAAUGGAACUGGAACAAAUGGAAGUGAUCGCAGAUACGACUAGAAAUUUGAAAGCCGGAAUCAUCGACUUUACGGCUGGUUCCCUUGGUGGGGUGGCUUUGGUCUAUGUCGGUCAACCACUGGAUACAGUAAAAGUCAAAAUGCAAACAUUUCCCCAACUUUAUAAAGGGAUGGUAGACUGCUUUAUGACAACAUUAAGACAAGAUGGUAUAAUCAGGGGCCUUUAUGCUGGAACCCUUCCUGCAGUUGCAGCUAAUGUAGCUGAAAAUUCUGUAUUAUUUGCUGCUUACGGACUAUGUCAAAAAACAAUAGCUAAACUGUCAGGUGUUCAAAAGGUGGAAGAUUUGAGUUCACUGGGAAAUGCAGGGGCUGGUUUUUUUGCAGCUUUUUUCUCAUCCCUAUCUCUGUGUCCCACAGAAUUAAUUAAGUGUCAAUUACAAGCCAUGAGAGAAGUCAGCACACAAAAGGCAGCUCCAGGUGAACGUGUUAAUUUUAUUGGACCUUGGCAACUAACGAAACGAAUUAUCCGUGCGGAAGGGCCAGCUGGUUUAUUCAGGGGUCUUUUAUCAACCAUAGCUAGAGAGAUGCCAGGGUACUUUUUCUUUUUUGGUGGUUACGAAGCAACCCGCGAAUUGUUGGCAAAACCAGGUCAAAAUAAGGAAGAUAUCGGCUGGCUAAAUACAAUGAUAGCAGGAGCUGCUGGAGGUGCACUUUUCUGGCUUGUUAUAUUCCCAGCUGAUGUAAUCAAGAGUAGAAUACAGGUUCAAGAUCUGAGACAGCCAGCCUACAUUAUUCUCAGAGAUGUUGCACGAAAUGAAGGCAUUGGUGCAUUAUAUAAUGGUUUGAAGCCAACACUGAUCAGAACGGUUCCUGCCACAUCAACACUAUUUUUGACUUACGAAUAUUCCAAAAAGUUGAUGCAAAGCUACUUUGAUGAUUGAAGAGUCUGUGAACUUUGGAACAUUUGCGAUCAAGUACUUGAUAAAUUUUUCGUACUUUGGAUCCAACAAACACUCUCCAUUUCUUGCUGCGUAAUGGGACACAAUUUUGAAGGCUUCAACUAUCUCCGGUUAAACCGUGUUGGUGAACCACUGGUAGUGUCUGCCAGUUUCUACAUCGUGUGGUGAGCUACCUGAAUGAAAUCGCUCGA
rnacentral:misc_RNA from 1 species